rnacentral:misc_RNA from 1 species
GUCAGCAUGGGAAUUUAGGGUUCUCCACUCUCUUCUUCGUCGUCACCUUCAUUCUAGUAUUAGACACAUUAUGGUUAGUGAUGUCUCAUUGAAUGCUGCAAAGUACUUGAAUAGUAUUCAUGGAUAUUAAAGUGUUACAUUAUUAGGAUAGAUAUGGGGGAAGGCAAAGGAAGUUCAAUUAGAAAGAUCUCUGCAGGAACGCAAGUCUUGAUUGUGCACGGAGGUUCAGCCAAAGAAUGGUGAUUUUUUUUAUCGCCUUCUCCAUGACCAUCAAUUGCCACUGAAGCUCAAGGUCCUUCUCCGGUUCCAUCAAUUCAUCGACACUCCCAUCACCAUACCUUUAUCCCAGCUGCCCAUAGCGUAAGGCAGAAAAGAAGAGGAAGUACUACAGAUUCCAAUUAGAUAUGACUGACUACCUGCUGGCCCAGGUAUUUGAUCACCAGUACUAAAUUCAGGUAAUUCAUCAGACCCAUCAAUCACAAGGCAAAUUUUCAGAGGUGCUAUUCCAUGCAAGAAAUCAUUAUGAAUCCAGCACCAAACAACAGUUUUCAAAUGGCAUUCGAAAGAGUGAGGCCAUAUUCAAAUUCGCAAAGUAAGCAAAGCAUAAGAUCCCAAUCAAACCACGUUAUCGAACAUUUACGGACAUAGAACAGUAGUUUAUAACAGCCAGGUUUCAUGAGCUCAAAUGAUUCCGCUGACAGGCCAGGGAAACAAGGCACCAAGUAGACAUACACCAAAACAUCUGCAUCCAGCUAGGACUUUUUAACUCUUCGGCACAAUUUAGAGUAUCAGCUUCGAUAGCCUCCAGAACUGCGACGAUCAUAUGGUCCAGAACGAUCACGGUUAAAACGUUCCCCUCCUUCACGACCACCACCAUCUCUGCUGCUGCGGCUUCCAUAUCGAUCUCCGUUCCUGUCAGGUCCACCUCCACCACCAUACCGACCACCUCUACCCCCUUCACUAGGGCAUUCUCUGGCAAAGUGUCCUGGCUUGCCACAAUUAUAGCAAUCUCCACCACCACCACCAGCUCCCCGACCACCACCAUAAUCACGGCUACCCCGAUCACGAUCACGGUCACGACCCCGAUCUCGGUCACGGUCACGGGGUCGAUCACUAUCAAAAUCUCUGCCUGAACCUUGCUGAGGCUGGGCUUUGUCUACAGUAAUAGCACGGCCAUCUAAGUCCAUUCCAUUCAUU